AACGAACGCUGGCGGCAGGCUUAACACAUGCAAGUCGAGCGAAGACUUCGGUCUUAGCGGCGGACGGGUGAGUAACGCGUGGGAACGUACCCUUUACUACGGAACAACUCCGGGAAACUGGAGCUAAUACCGUAUGUGCCCUUCGGGGGAAAGAUUUAUCGGUAAAGGAUCGGCCCGCGUUGGAUUAGCUAGUUGGUGGGGUAAAGGCCUACCAAGGCGACGAUCCAUAGCUGGUCUGAGAGGAUGAUCAGCCACAUUGGGACUGAGACACGGCCCAAACUCCUACGGGAGGCAGCAGUGGGGAAUAUUGGACAAUGGGCGCAAGCCUGAUCCAGCCAUGCCGCGUGUGUGAUGAAGGCCUUAGGGUUGUAAAGCACUUUCACCGGAGAAGAUAAUGACGGUAUCCGGAGAAGAAGCCCCGGCUAACUUCGUGCCAGCCGCCGCCGUAACAC
rnacentral:rRNA from 1 species